AUCGCUUCUCGGCCUCUGGCUAAGAUCAAAGUGUAGUAUCUGUUGUGUAAUAUAUUUACAACGUAUGGUUUACAGCAUUUUAUACAUGAACCUACU